rnacentral:rRNA from 1 species
UUCGGAAUGAAACUAGAUAUGACUUAGUGGCGGACGGGUGAGUAACACGUGAGCAACCUGCCUUUCAGAGGGGGAUAACGGCUGGAAACGACUGCUAAUACCGCAUAAGCCCACGGUGCUGCAUGGCACUGCGGGAAAAGGAUUUAUUCGCUCUAGGAUGGACUCGCGUCCAAUUAGCUAGUUGGUGAGGUAACGGCCCACCAAGGCGACGAUUGGUAGCCGGACUGAGAGGUUGAACGGCCACAUUGGGACUGAGAUACGGCCCAGACUCC